GCGAGCGUGGCGGAAUUGGCAGACGCGCCAGGUUUAGGUCCUGGUGUCCGAUAAGGACGUGGAGGUUCGAGUCCUCUCGCUCGCA
rnacentral:tRNA from 1 species